CCUCGCAUAUUUAAAAGGCAAAGGAAGUAGAGAGAGAGGGACGAACGGUGGGGAUAAGCAGAGGCUCGGGAUAAUGCCAUGUCAAUUGCUUUGCAAGAGGAAGCUCAAGCAUAAUGUCACAGUGCUGUUAUGGUUCUCAGUGACUAUUCAAGAGUUCAACAUGGAACGGCUUUCAUAAAUAAAGCAUUGCUCAAAAUCAAUGAGUCUAUUAUGAUCCUGAAAAAAAAGGAAAGCCAAGAUUAUUUAUUGCAAAUCCAGCUGUUGAUGGAGAAUGAGGUGAACUUUGCAGGCAUGCAGGGACUAUUCACUAUGAUUUCAUCCAGACAGUCACUUUUACAAAAGCUCAAUUAUACUCUAAGCCUGCAAAAAGAGGCUUACGAUCCUUGUUAGUAUAAGCAACAGUCAUGCAGUUUAUUUAACAUAACAGGGUUUUUUUCUGAAGGUAAAGAAACUAUGCCGCCCACCAGAAAGAGGUUGUCCUUGGACUGUGCCCAAGUUGUGCCCAGCUUGCUCAAAGUAAUAGGAAAAUGUGGAGAUUUCUUUAAAGUAAGGCUACACUGACUAUUUGUCUUAACCAUCUAUGGAGCAGUUGUACUAAGGUCCAAAAUCAUCCUGGACAGAACAAUUUUGAGCCAUUGAUAAAGGUCCUGCCUGCCAGGGCUACUCAAUUAUAGCAAAACUCUUAAUGACAUUCAUUUUUGUCCAGUACUGACAAUAUGGUUAUUUAAUACAAAUAUUCACAUACACUGGAAAAAUGGUAGAUUUGCUCAAUUUAAAAAAGGAAGAACGAUAAAACUCUUUUUAUUAAGUGAAUUUUCAGUAACUCUGACUGCAGCUCAAAUGAAUAAACUAAAUGAAUGAAUGUGACCUGAAUUAAAGUAGCCACAGCCUGGCAACGAGCAAAUGGGGACUAUAUGAAAGAGCAAAAAUGAAGGAAAAGAACAUGCUGCAUGGGAAAACGUGUGAAUUACAGAAAAACUUUGUUUUUAUCAUCGGUGGAAACCACAAUUGACUUUUAAAUGAAAAUUCAAUUCCAUUAAUUUGCCUAUAAUAUAAUCAGUAACCCGACAUGACACAAAAAAUAUACGACUUUCUCUCUAUCUGGUUAUGAUCUAGUCAACUUGCAGUGUUUCGAAUGCGUACUAAGAUUCUCUGCAAACUGCCUGAGCAUCAUCAUCAGCAAGUGUUAAGUAAAUAUAAUGAAUUCAGCUUAAUUCAAAACCAAAACUCAGUCUGUAGUGCUCAGCUGUUAAUUGACACAAGACAUUUUUAUGAUCACAUGAAACAAAAAACUCAGUGUAGCUAUUAUACCUCAAGUCUUAAUGUUUUAUUUUCUACAAACAGGGCCAAACAUAGCCACAUCAAGUCAAAACCCCUUAUUUUCUGUAAUAUACAGUGCUGUUGUUGUACUAUAAUGGAUGCUUAUACUAAACAUAACCUAAGUUCAAACAAUGAGGUCAGCAUAUGUGCAAGUAAUCCCUGUGAGCCAAAAGCUCAGCCUUCCUAUUGCUUUAAAACUGACGUUUUUUUCUACUGUUGGCUCUGUAUGAUGUCAUUAGGAGUUAAGCUAUAUGUUUUACAGUCAUCACCGGCACUCAGCUCUGGAUGCGAGCACAGAAGCCCCUCCUACUGCUGUUCAAACUUUCUUUUUGUGGCUUUUGGGGUGAUACUUAUGUAAAGCUUGUCGUCUCAAACUAAGCACUAAAGGACUUUUAUACAUACAUUUAUACAGCGCUUUUUACGUUUCCACACACCCCGAUGGAUUAAUUAGGGUCCAGUAUCCAGGAUUAUACUGUCAACCUUUCUCUUAGAAGAUGACCUGCUCUACCUCCUGAGUGUAAAAAGAAUAAAUACAUGGUGCUGGAAAUGAGCAGAAUAGGUCCCCUUUCAGAUAUUUAGCCACUGUUUUUGAAGGCACUAAAACUUUAGAUUUUAAUUCCCUAAAUAAAUAUAAACCUCUAUCUUGCAUCAGAGGUAGGCAAGGUUAAUGACAGUGUGACUCAUAAGGUUCAAUGUUUUUUGCUGACUAAGCUGAAUUAAAGAUAGAUAUAUUUUAGUACGAGGUGCUCCUAUAGAACUUAUGUGGUGUAGGGACAGCAACUGGUCUACUGCAAUUCUUACAAAUUUAAACAUCUUUUUAUGUAUUUGUUGCUCAAAGUUGUGUUUCAAAAAUGAUAAAAUUACAUAAAGAAACUAAAUAAAAAGGCCUGCAGGUAAACACCAAUUAUAUUUAAAGAGAUGCAUAUAUAACUAACUAUUAAUCCUAAAUAGUGUAGCAUAAUAACACCAUUCAAGGUCACCAUCACAGAGAGAUGGGUUUCCAGCACACCUGUUUAGCCACACAGGUGUCUCCAGUUAUUGUGGCUGAUUAGGCCUGUGCUCAGGUUGAAGCUAAUGGCAAAGCGUCGUGAACCAAAAUAAAUGGGUGUGUCCUGCGAUGUUACAUUUCCAUUGUGUUAUAGCCAACAUCAGGUGGAAGACCCUGCAACAGACUGUCAUUCCAAAGAAACAAAGGUGACGUGACGAAGAGCGGAAAUCAGCCCAUAAGAAAAGGAAAACGGAGAAAUCUGUGCAGGUCCUGGAGAUGACCAAGUGCAUUGCAGAGGAUUUACAGUACAACCAAGUGACAUAAAGUAUGUGGACAGCAACAGAUUGUUCAACAGUUUGGCUCCCAGUGAAGAUGAUACAAUGACUCUCACAGUUUUUUUCCUCAUUGGUAUUUUUGGAAAAGUUAAAACACAUAACUGCAAACAAAGUUUGGUUGUGUGCAUACAGGGUGUAAUUUGUUGGGAUUUACUGCUGCUAAAACGUGCAGCCAGGCAGAAUUAUGUCCUAACUAAUUCACCAUUAAAUCAAAAACCAUAUCUGA